rnacentral:rRNA from 1 species
AGAGCUUGCUCUCGGGUGACGAGUGGCGGACGGGUGAGUAAUGUCUGGGAAACUGCCUGAUGGAGGGGGAUAACUACUGGAAACGGUAGCUAAUACCGCAUAACGUCGCAAGACCAAAGAGGGGGACCUUCGGGCCUCUUGCCAUCAGAUGUGCCCAGAUGGGAUUAGCUAGUAGGUGGGGUAACGGCUCACCUAGGCGACGAUCCCUAGCUGGUCUGAGAGGAUGACCAGCCACACUGGAACUGAGACACGGUCCAGACUCCUACGGGAGGCAGCAGUGGGGAAUAUUGCACAAUGGGCGCAAGCCUGAUGCAGCCAUGCCGCGUGUAUGAAGAAGGCCUUCGGGUUGUAAAGUACUUUCAGCGGGGAGGAAGGUGUUGUGGUUAAUAACCGCAGCAAUUGACGUUACCCGCAGAAGAAGCACCGGCUAACUCCGUGCCAGCAGCCGCGGUAAUACGGAGGGUGCAAGCGUUAAUCGGAAUUACUGGGCGUAAAGCGCACGCAGGCGGUCUGUCAAGUCGGAUGUGAAAUCCCCGGGCUCAACCUGGGAACUGCAUUCGAAACUGGCAGGCUAGAGUCUUGUAGAGGGGGGUAGAAUUCCAGGUGUAGCGGUGAAAUGCGUAGAGAUCUGGAGGAAUACCGGUGGCGAAGGCGGCCCCCUGGACAAAGACUGACGCUC